rnacentral:tRNA from 1 species
AAGGCUUUAGCUUAAUCAAAGUGUCUGCUUUGCAUGCAGAAGAUGUGGGAUAGAAUCCUGCAGGUCUUA